GUGAUACCUAAUGAAACACUCUGAUGCCUCACUGUGCAGUUCACCUUCUGGAGAGCCUCCAAGAGUCCUGGUCAGGGAUUGGAGCCAGAACCUCCACACAUGCUCAUUAUCUGCUGACCCCUGCCUCUGAUCAUGGGAGGUCUAUCCAGUGCUUAGUACAGGGCUCUGCUCACACUGUCUGCUCAGAAAAUACAAGUGAUGGACUGACUCAUCAUUCCACGGAGCCCGAGAGCAAAUAUGGAUGUAGAAUGGGCUCACACUGGAGUGCGCUUAGUACAGUGCUCUGCACACAGUCUCCUGGGCAGGAGUUGGCAUUUCUGCUUGGACUUUCACCUCCAGAAAAGGAGAAAAUUUCCCUCAAACAGUCCCUUGGAGGGCUCUAAUUUCACUGGGAAACCUCAGAAAAAAACAAGGAGUCCACAACUUCCUGCUAUCCCUUUCCACAGGCCACACAGCCCAAAUGGAAGGUGACCAAGUGUGUGACAUUUCAGGAUUGAACCUCAGGAGACUCCCUCACCUUCGGCCCGUAGAAGAAUGGGCACAUCUGGACUAUUUCCUGCGUUUGGAUCUUUGUUCCUGCCGGAAAAUAGCCUCUUGGGAGAAACGGAGUCCCACUGGUCUUUGAACAGUACCUCCUUUUCAAGCCCGGAAGAAUCAUCUCCCCUUCAGAGUAAUCGAUGAGAAGAUGGAGCCUCACAAAGACAAGAAGUCGGACACAAUUCCAAACCACAAACUCAGUAGCUGAACUUCCCUGGACUCCAGGAAAGAUGAACUGAUCAGUGACAGAUGGGAAUGUGAAAAUGGGCGUCUAACCACGGGUACACCUUUCCAGCCAGUGACCUUGAGGACGGAGUCGGGACCUGCUUUAUCGCCCGCGCCAACCGCGGGGGAGGGAGGAUUAGCAAGAGGAAAUGGCAUUUGAAGUCACACCCACAAGUGCCAGGGGCGAGCAGGACCCUUCCAACUGGAUCCCUGCCUGGGCACCUUUAAGGAUGGAGUAAGACUGAAGUUCUCUGCUUGAAAGCAUAACUCAGUUGAAGUCAUGCUGGACAUUCUCAACUGGAACGCUCUUCCUCAUCACCCGGCUCAAGGCUGGCCUUGGUACAGCUGGGGCAUUAAGUGCUUGCUCGUCCUUUGAAGAGAUUCACCACCAACAAGGCUACUUACUGAGCGUCCGCUCGGGGCUUGGCUGCGGCUCUGGGCUCCAGAGACCAGGUGGGAUGGUUCCAUUGCACAGACCUGUAUAUUCAGUGUGUUGAUGCCGAUAUAUACAAAAUGGGACUUUUCGGUCAAGAGUUAAUAGGCGGAGACUGGCAAAGUCUCCCGAAAGGUUAAAUGGCUGUGGUUUUGCCUGCCGGCCCAAAGCCAUCACGGUAGAAGCACCGACCCAUUUUCACACACGGGAUACGUUGAGAUUCAUGUUUAGAGUUCCUUCCGGAGAGCUAGGAGCUAGCUGCCCACCUUAAAAAGAAACAGCUGUACAACAGGCAACUUGAAUACAAAAAAUGAUGUAAGAAAAAAAAUGACCAAGCCAGUUCACGGUAUAGAAAGGUAAAGGAAAUUGCUAAAACCAGACACUAAUAGCUAUAAAAGGCACAACUUCCCUUUUCUGAUAUACACUUGUAAACU